rnacentral:rRNA from 1 species
AAUGAACGUUGGCGGCGUGGAUUAGGCAUGCAAGUCGUGCGGAAAGGCUCCUUCGGGAGUACUCGAGCGGCGAAAGGGAGAGUAACGCGUGGAUAUCUACCCCCUGGACUGGGAUAGCGGCGGGAAAAUGCCGGUAAUACCAGAUAAUGUCUGAGGACCAAAGGUGUGAUUCCGCCGGGGGAUGAGUCCGCGUCCUAUUAGCUAGUUGGUGGGGGAAUGGCUCACCAAGGCUGGGAUGGGUACCGGGUGUGAGAGCAUGGCCCGGCUCACUGGGACUGAGACACUGCCCAGACACCUACGGGUGGCUGCAGUCGAGAAUCUUCGGCAAUGUGCGCAAGCCUGACCGAGCGACGCCGCGUGCGGGAUGAAGGCCUUCGGGUUGUAAACCGCUGUCAGGGGGGAGGAAAUGCGUGAGGGUUCUCUCUCACGUUUGACCUAUCCUCAGAGGAAGUACGGGCUAAGUUCGUGCCAGCCGCCGCCGUAACAC